UGAGAGAUUGUGUGUAGGCAAUGAGAUA
rnacentral:piRNA from 1 species